rnacentral:rRNA from 1 species
CGGUUGAUCCUGCCGGACCCAACUGCUAUCGGGGUGAGACUAAGCCAUGCGAGUUGAACGACUUGCAGCCAUGAGAAAAUCGUGGCCAACGGCUCAAUAUCAUGUGGCUAACUUGCCCUUGGGACGGAGACACCCUCGGGAAACUGAGGCUAAUCCCAGAUAGAAGAGAACUCCUGGAAUGGGUUUUCAUCCAAGAGGCGCCAAGAUCAUGCUUUUUAGCGUCGCCCAAGGAUAGGGCCGCGGCCGAUCAGGUCGCUGGUGAGGCAAUGGCUCACCAAACCUAUAACCGGUACGGGCCGUGAGAGCGGGAGCCCGGAGAUGGGCACUGAGAUAAGGGCCCAGGCCCUACGGGGCGCAGCAGGUACGAAAACUUGGCAAUGCGCGAAAGCGCGACGGGGUCACCCCGAGUGCCGUCCGUUAAGGGUAGCUUUUGUCUGUCGUAAGGAUCCGGAGGAAUAAGGGGAGGGCAAGUCUGGUGUCAGCCGCCGCGGUAAUACCAGCUCUCCGAGUGGUUGGGACGAUUAUUGGGUUUAAAGCGUCCGUAGCCGGCCUUUAAAGUUUCUCGUUAAAUCCAACGAUCCAAUCGUUGGGCUGCGGGAGAUACUCUUCGCUAGGGGGCGGGAGGAAGCCGGCGGUAGUCUCGGGGUAGGGGCAAAAUCCUAUAAUCCCGAGAGGACCACCAGUGGCGAAGGGCGGUCCGACUAACGCGCGCCCGACGGUGAGGGACGAAAGCUGGGGGAGCGAACGGGAUUAGAUACCCCGGUAGUCCCAGCUGUAAACGAUGCAGGCUAGGUGUUGGGACGGCCACGAGCUGUCCCAGUGCCGCAGGGAAGCCAUUAAGCCUGCCACCUGGGGAGUACGGUCGCAAGGCUGAAACUUAAAGGAAUUGGCGGGGGAGCACCACAAGGGGUGAAGCUUGCGGUUUAAUUGGAGUCAACGCCGGGAACCUUACCGGAGGCGACAGCAGAAUGAAAGCCAGGUUGAUGGUCUUGCUGGACGAGCUGAGAGGAGGUGCAUGGCCGUCGCCAGUUCGUGCCGUGAGGUGUCCUGUUAAGUCAGGCAACGAUCGAGACCCACACCCUCUGUUGCUUCCGAGGAGUUUUUCCAAGGGGCACUCUGAGGGGACUGCCGCCGAUAAGGUGGAGGAAGGAGUGGGCAACGGCAGGUCAGUAUGCCCCGAAUCCUCCGGGCCACACGCGAGCUGCAAUGGCUGGGACAAUGGGUUCCGACCCCGAGAGGGGAAGGUAAUCCCGAAACCCGGCCUCAGUUGGGAUCGAGGGCUGAAACCCGCCCUCGUGAACAUGGAAUCCCUAGUAAUCGCGUGUCAUCAGCGCGCGGUGAAUACGUCCCUGCUCCUUGCACACACCGCCCGUCGUUCCACUCGAGUGGGGUUUGGGUGAGGCGUGGUCUUUUUGGCUGCGUCGAACCUAAGUCUCGCGAGAGGGGAAAAGUCGUAACAAGGUAGCC